CAGCAGCCGCGGUAAUACGAAGGGGGCUAGCGUUGUUCGGAUUUACUGGGCGUAAAGGGCGCGUAGGCGGACUGAUAAGUCAGGGGUGAAAUCCCAAGGCUCAACCUUGGAACUGCCUUUGAUACUGUUUGUCUUGAGUUCGAGAGAGGUAAGUGGAACUGCGAGUGUAGAGGUGAAAUUCGUAGAUAUUCGCAAGAACACCAGUGGCGAAGGCGGCUUACUGGCUCGAAACUGACGCUGAGGCGCGAAAGCGUGGGGAGCAAACAGGAUUAGAGACCCGCGUAGUCCCUGUCUCUUAUAC
rnacentral:rRNA from 1 species